UCCGGGAUUGUGUAAUGGUAGCACAAGGGCUUUUGGAGCCCUUUGUCUAGGUUCGAAUCCUAGUCCCGGAG
rnacentral:tRNA from 1 species